rnacentral:lncRNA from 1 species
UUUUCUUUUCUUUUUUUUUUUGGCCACACCUGCAGCCUGAGAAAGUCCCAGGGCCAGAGAUCGAACCUACACCACAGUAGUGACCCAAGCUGCUGCAGUGACAAUACCAGAUCCUUACCCACUGAGCCAGCAGGAAACUCCUACGUGUCUAUUUUAAGAGCCUGUCAUCAGAUCUCUGAAUUGGAGCAUCUUUAAGUUUUAUUAAAGUACAGCGGUUUUAAAGGCUGUGAUUGUUUCUGCUGCACAGCAAAGUGACCGGAGUCAUACAACCACACACACACAUUCUCUCUCAGAUUCUUUUCCCACCUAGAUUACCACAGGACACCAGCUCGUGUCAACCUCUUUUUCAAAUAAAGGGAAUAGAGAAAUUCAGAAAGUAGGAAAAGCUGUCUACCAGCAAGCAAUAAGAUCAAAGGAAUGCCAAGACAAGAAUUUGAGAAGCUGGUGGUUGGUAAAAAGAGAUCGUGUGCGAAAUUCCCAAUACGGGAACAUCAAAGGUCACUUAAUCUGGAAGGGGCCACUCUUCAGCAUCAAAAGACAGAAUCAGCUGAGAAGAAACAAGAUUCCCAAGACGGUGCCCAGUUCUGAUAGAAAUCCGCAUUCCAACUGGCUGAGUAUCUGUGGAAAACCACCUUUCCCAGGAGAGUGAAAAAUACAGGAGUCACUUCCAACAUAGAAAGUUUCAGAGACAGAAUCCUUGUGUUUAGACAAGACCCAUUCUGCCGUGCACAGAGUUCAAGAGUUGAGCAGCCCCAGUGAUGGAUGCCUAAGCUACACAGACAGAGACCGUCAGUGCUGGUUUAUCAGCAUGCACAGGACUCCCAGGGAUCAGCAGCCCCUGCACUGGCCCACCUCACAGACCUGUCUCAUCUCUGUCUGGCCAGGCGCACCCCUUCAUUCAAAUGGUCUCAGGAGAGGCUCCCAUUGGAUGCUGGGCGUCAGCGGCUUGGCAGACAUCACCUUUCCUUCCUGAUGGUCCUGGGCCUGAAGGUUUCACGUGGCUGCCAUCACAGAGCCCUCGGCUUUCCUGGGUCCACUCCAACACAGAAAAGGCUUUGUUGUCGGAGUUAACCUCCCAGCCUGAACGCCUGGAGCUGGAAGAGCCAUUUCCUUGUGGCAAUGCUGUUGCCAUAGUUACGAGGCCCUCCUCGGGUGCUUUCCAGAUUACAGAUACUGCUUGAAAAACAAACGAGCUUCUUCGUCUCUAUCCGCACCGUGUCUGUUGUUUUAUUCUUGGAUGGAAAAACCAUGGUGACCCUCGGACAGGGAAGGUAGCCCCAUCCUGGCGCCAGGAUUCACCAGCACAGUGAGUAUGGCGAGGAUUUAUCAUCAAUCGUGCGCACCCCGUGGUUUGGCAAAUGGAAUUUACGCUUUUACAUAAAUGCCUUGACAUUCUGUCUGUCUCACAUCUUCCUGCUAGUUACUUCAAUAAGAAAAUAAAACCGCUCCGCUUCAAACACAUGUAUUACGGAUAAAGCAAGAAGUGACUUAUUACUGUUACACGGAUUUUAAAAAAAUAAGUAAAAAUUAUCGUGAUCAACUAAAAACCGUAAAUUCUUUGCCGGUGAUCAGAAUUAGCCCAGGUGAAGCACAGAUGGACCGUGCCGGGCCCUAAAGGAAAGCAAAGAUCUCAGAGGGAGCACCAGCAUUGCUUCAGCAUCCCCGCUCCAGGAGGGGUCUCUCGUAGAGAACCUGCUGGAAGCCGGCCCCACAUACCAACCAUGGAUAGGAAGGUAGCACGGGCUGAGACAGGACGAGCCUCGUGUGUGCACCUGCCAUUGCAAUGCUCAGGCAACCCAAUCUACACAAGUACAACAGCGCACCAGGGGCAUCAUUAUUGACCUUGGAAUGCAAAACCCGCAAGGACUGAGCACCACUGAAUCCAUGUCAAGAGGAAAAUUAUGUGUGUUUGGGGGGGGGGGGUCUGUUUUUGAGUUUCUUUUGCACAAUGAAGACUUCUGGGUAAGUGGCUAUGGAGGCACAAUGCCUGAUGAGAAUUAAAAGCACCAGCUUGGAAGUCAGGCAAGCCUGGAGUCAACUCCCAGCCCCCCUCCCCCCCACCAGCCCCGAGGACUUAGGUAAGCCACGGAGUGUUUCUGAGUGUCAGUUUCCUCGUGGCAAAGCAGGAAUGAUGAUACCAAUUGUAUGAGAUAAUGUAAUGAGAUACUGCGGGUAAAAUGCUUGAGGCAACACUCAAGACACAACGUGGUAAACGAUGGAUAAGCGGUAUAACAGAUGGAUAAGCGGUAUAACAAUGAGAAGAAAGCGGGUGGGGGAGGGGGAGGGUCCGCGGAAGGCGGUGUCCCCAACAGAAGGAAGAAGGCAGAGAGAGGUGGACGAUUCCGAGAAGGAGCAGUGGUGGGAGGAUUCACGCUGUUUACAAUAUCUGUCAUGUACCAACGGGGUGGAAACUGUGAGUCAUGGCCUCGAGGUGCAAAGUGACCUGGGUUCAAAUCCU